GCAGCACACUGCUGAGGGUCAUCCCGUCUCCCAUCCCCGAAACUACAGCAGAUCUGACUUCACCAAACAGGCUCGUUUCAGCCUCGCAUCCUGAUCCACUUUCCGGGUUAGUCUGUUUCACCGGCUGCCGUUUGCACAAAGCGCACAGAAAGAAGCGCAUCCGCUCGGUGCUGAUGUGAAGCGUUUGUAUUCCACCAAUAAAGCGAAACAGCAGUUUGGUUUGGAUGCACCGGACAACUACGCAACGAACUAAAACUGUUUGGAUAUUUGAAGAAGAACGAGUCGCUUUGAGGAGUCGAUUCGGUCCGGAGCGCAGGAACGAGAUCGCGGAGACGCGGAGCGCGUUGACAGCGGCUCGCGAUGAAGAUGUGUUCAGCAAAGACGCUCGAGCGCCGACUGGAAGCCGGUAGCCCCGCCCUCCACUGAGCUCAGAGAGAGGGAAGUCCAGGUGAACUGGUGAUGUCACACCGGCAGGUGC